rnacentral:rRNA from 1 species
AUUGAACGCUGGCGGCAUGCCUUACACAUGCCAGUCGAACGGUAACAGGUCUUCGGAUGCUGACGAGUGGCGCACGGGUGAGUAAUACAUCGGAACGUGCCCGAUCGUGGGGGAUAACGAGGCGAAAGCUUUGCUAAUACCGCAUACGAUCUACGGAUGAAAGCGGGGGAUCUUCGGACCUCGCGCGGACGGAGCGGCCGAUGGCAGAUUAGGUAGUUGGUGGGAUAAAAGCUUACCAAGCCGACGAUCUGUAGCUGGUCUGAGAGGAUGAUCAGCCACACUGGGACUGAGACACGGCCCAGACUCCUACGGGAGGCAGCAGUGGGGAAUUUUGGACAAUGGGCGAAAGCCUGAUCCAGCCAUGCCGCGUGCAGGAUGAAGGCCUUUGGGUUGUAAACUGCUUUUGUACGGAACGAAAAGCCUCUUUCUAAUAAAGAGGGGUCAUGACGGUACCGUAAGAAUAAGCACCGGCUAACUACGUG